rnacentral:rRNA from 1 species
CGCCUUGCCAGCCCGCUACAGAAACUUAAAGGAAUUGACGGGGGCCCGCACAAGCGGUGGAGUAUGUGGUUUAAUUCGAUGCAACGCGAAGAACUUACCUGGUCUUGACAUCCCGGAGACCCUUAGGAAACUAGGGGGUGCUUCCAUCUGGAAGAAUCUGGAGACAGGUGCUGCAUGGCUGUCGUCAGCUCGUGUCGUGAGAUGUUGGGUUAAGUCCCGCAACGAGCGCAACCCUUGCCUUUAGUUGCCAGCAGUUCGGCUGGGCACUCUAAAGGGACUGCCGGUGUUAAACCGGAGGAAGGUGGGGAUGACGUCAAGUCCUCAUGGCCUUUAUGACCAGGGCUACACACGUACUACAAUGGCCGAUACAAAGGGCAGCGACACUGCGAGGUGAAGCCAAUCCCGUAAAAUCGGUCUCAGUCCGGAUUGGAGUCUGCAACUCGACUCCAUGAAGUUGGAAUCGCUAGUAAUCGUGGAUCAGCAUGCCACGGUGAAUACGUUCCCGGGCCUU